rnacentral:rRNA from 1 species
GUACGAAAGGACCAGAUAUUAAAAUAAUUAUAUUUAUUUAUGAAUUGAUUACUAUUAAUUU